GACGAACGCUGGCGGCGUGCUUAACACAUGCAAGUCGAACGGAAAGGCCCUGCUUUUGUGGGGUGCUCGAGUGGCGAACGGGUGAGUAACACGUGAGUAACCUGCCCUUGACUUUGGGAUAACUUCAGGAAACUGGGGCUAAUACCGGAUAGGAGCUCCUGCUGCAUGGUGGGGGUUGGAAAGUUUCGGCGGUUGGGGAUGGACUCGCGGCUUAUCAGCUUGUUGGUGGGGUAGUGGCUUACCAAGGCUUUGACGGGUAGCCGGCCUGAGAGGGUGACCGGCCACAAUGGGACUGAGAUACGGCCCAGACUCGUACGGGAGGCAGCAGGGGGGAAUAUUACACAAUGGGCGGAAGCCUGAUGCAGCAACGCCGCGUGCGGGAUGACGGCCUUCGGGUUGUAAACCGCUUUCGCCUGUGACGAAGCGUGAGUGACGGUAAUGGGUAAAGAAGCACCGGCUAACUACGUG
rnacentral:rRNA from 1 species